rnacentral:rRNA from 1 species
UGGGGAAUCUUGCACAAUGGGCGAAAGCCUGAUGCAGCGACGCCGCGUGCGGGAUGAAGGCCUUCGGGUUGUAAACCGCUUUCAGCAGGGACGAGGCCGCAAGGUGACGGUACCUGCAGAAGAAGCCCCGGCUAACUACGUGCCAGCAGCCGCGGUAAUACGUAGGGGGCAAGCGUUAUCCGGAUUCAUUGGGCGUAAAGCGCGCGUAGGCGGUUUGUUAGGUCAGGGGUGAAAUCCCGGGGCUCAACCCCGGAACUGCCUUUGAUACUGGAAGUCUUGAGUAUGGUAGAGGUGAGUGGAAUUCCGAGUGUAGAGGUGAAAUUCGUAGAUAUUCGGAGGAACACCAGUGGCGAAGGCGGCUCACUGGACCAUUACUGACGCUGAGGUGCGAAAGCGUGGGGAGCAAACAGG